UGAAACUAAACCUUGCAGGAAAAGGACACGAGCCACUUUUGAAGCCUCCCACAGUGGGUCAAGGUCUCCAUGCCAGAACCCUGCAAAGAGGAGGAAAAUGGUGAGCCUGGAUGAGGCAGAAACAGAAGCAGAGAAGCCCCACAACUCUGAUCAGGCUUCAUCGAGCAAUGGCAAAAGUCAGAAGAAUGACGACCA